rnacentral:tmRNA from 1 species
GGGGCUGAUUCUGGAUUCGACGGGAUUCGCGAAACCCAAGGUGCAUGCCGAGGGGCGGUUGGCCUCGUAAAAAGCCGCAAAAAAAUAGUCGCUCAAACCCAAAAGAGAUCGCGCGGAUGCCCUGCCUGGGGUUGAAGUGCUAAAACUAAUCAGGCUAGUUCGUUAGUGGCGUGUCUGUCCGCAGCUGGCGUGCGAAUGUAAAGACAAACUAAGCAUGUAGUACCGAGGAUGUAGGAAUUUCGGACGCGGGUUCAACUCCCGCCAGCUCCACCA